AGUAAAAACAAGGUUGCCACAAAAGAAAAAAUAUCAAUAAAUAAUAACAGUAAUAACAAUAAUAACAAUAAUAAUAACAAUAAUAAUAAUAAUGACAGUUCUUAUAACGACAAUAAUAAUAAUAAUAAUGUAGCGACAGGUACUAUUAGAAAUGAUUCGUUUGAUUUAUUACAAAGUGAUAAAAACAAUGAGAAGGAUCAAAAUGUCAAAGACACAACACGCAAAGCAACUUAUACAAAAAAAGAAAAAACACGAUUGCUAAACCUGAACUCAGAUGAAAAUAAAAUAAUAAAUGAUUUUAACCAAUCGAUAAAUGAAGGAAAUAAAAAAUUAAAUUAUGAUAAGCUAGCUACAAAUAAUAAAAGCAACAAUAAUAAUGUUAAUAAUAAUAUUAAUAAUAAUAACGUUAAUAAUAAUAAUAAUAAUAUAAAUUUGAAAGAAUUUAAAAACGUGAAAAGUGAUUCUAAUGAUAUAUUAUGGGAGGGAAUAAUUAAAAAAAGUAAUAUACACACAUUGAAAGAAGAUAUUGUAAAUCUUAAAAAAAAUUUAGAAACAAAAAAAAGCGACAUAAAAGAACAAUCUCUGGGUGAUGUAUUAAAUUGUCAUCAAUAUAAUGAUACAUCAAAUAGUGAAAGUAAAAGUAGUAAUAGAAGUAGUAAAACAAAUGAAGAUAAACUUAUUAAAAUUUUUAAAAAUAAUAUAAAUACAAAUAAAAAAAUUGAUAAAAAUAAGAAAAAUGAGCAAGACGUAAUUAGUACAGAUAUGAUACAAAACAGCACAAUAUUAGAAGACAUCCAACAUAAUGAUAAUAUACAUAAAAGUGUUAAACAAAAUAAUACAAAGCAAAAUGGUAUAAAACAAAAAAAUAAUGCACAAAAAAAUACAUAUGAAGUUAGCAUAAACGAUCAUAUUCAAAACAAUACAACUUCAACACAAAAAUUAAACAAUGAAAACACACAUAUAAAUGCUUAUAAUAAAUAUUUUACUAAAAAUGAUAAUAUAUUCUAUAUAAAAGAAGCGAUUUUAAGGAACCAAUCAGUUUUAUAUAAUGACGACUAUUUAGAGGUACAUACAUACA
rnacentral:lncRNA from 1 species